UGGGGAAUCUUGCACAAUGGGGGCAACCCUGAUGCAGCGACGCCGCGUGUGGGAGGAAGGCCUUCGGGUUGUAAACCACUGUCGGGCGGGACGAGCCGGGGGUCGUCGAACAGGCGGCUCCUCCGACGGUACCGCCCAUAGGAAGCUCCGGCUAACUCCGUGCCAGCAGCCGCGGUAAAACGGAGGGAGCACGCGUUGUCCGGAAUUACUGGGCGUACAGAGCGCGUAGGCGGCCAGGUGAGUCGUAUGUGAAAGGCCCGGGCCCAACCCGGGCAUGCCAUGCGAUACUGCCUGGCUAGAGGCCGGCAGGGGCCAGUGGAAUUCCCGGUGUAGCGGUGGAAUGCGUAGAUAUCGGGAGGAACACCAGCGGCGAAGGCGACUGGCUGGGCCGGACCUGACGCUGCAGCGCGAAAGCGUGGGGAUCAAACA
rnacentral:rRNA from 1 species